rfam:Schistosoma margrebowiei strain Zambia genome assembly, scaffold: SMRZ_contig0001841
GCUUUUCUGAAGAGUCCCACACUAGGACGAAACAGCUGUCCAGUGC